rnacentral:rRNA from 1 species
AGACGUAGGGUGCGAGCGUUGUCCGGAUUUAUUGGGCGUAAAGAGCUCGUAGGCGGCUCGUCGCGUCGACCGUGAAAACCCGCGGCUUAACUGCGGGCUUGCGGUUGAUACGGGCGGGCUAGAGUUCGGUAGGGGAGACUGGAAUUCCUGGUGUAGCGGUGAAAUGCGCAGAUAUCAGGAGGAACACCGGUGGCGAAGGCGGGUCUCUGGGCCGAUACUGACGCUGAGGAGCGAAAGCGUGGGGAGCGAACAG